GACGAACGCUGGCGGCGUGCCUAAUACAUGCAAGUCGAACGCAUUUUCUUUCACCGUAGCUUGCUACACCGAAAGAAAAUGAGUGGCGAACGGGUGGGUAACACGUGGGCAACCUGCCCAUCAGCGGGGGAUAACACUUGGAAACAGGUGCUAAUACCGCAUAAUUCCAUUUACCGCAUGGUAGAGGGAUGAAAGGCGCUUUUGCGUCACUGAUGGAUGGACCCGCGGUGCAUUAGCUAGUUGGUGGGGUAACGGCCUACCAAGGCUGCGAUGCAUAGCCGACCUGAGAGGGUGAUCGGCCACACUGGGACUGAGACACGGCCCAGACUCCUACGGGAGGCAGCAGUAGGGAAUCUUCGGCAAUGGACGCAAGUCUGACCGAGCAACGCCGCGUGAGUGAAGAAGGGUUUCGGAUCGUAAAACUCUGUUGUUAGAGAAGAACAAGGAUGAGAGUGGAAAGUUCAUCCCUUGACGGUAGCUAACCAGAAAGCCACGGCUAACUACGUG
rnacentral:rRNA from 1 species